GGCUACGGUGCGGGCCCGAGGGGCCGCGGGGUCCCUGCGCGGUCCGAGACCCCCGCGGAGGCCGCAGCCGCGGUCCCCAGCCCUCCCGAGGCCGGGAGGUGUUUCAAGGUGUCUCCCAGAAACAGGCGCAGCCCGGGCCGCCCGCCUCCGGAACAAUGGGUCCUUUCAGCCGCCCCGCAGACGGAUGGCCCGUCGCCAUGACAACCAGCAUUGUGGGCCGUCUGAGCGGCCGGGUCCCGGCGCCCCCCGCCCCUCCCCCGGGCCCCGCCGUAUGGUGCGUGUGGCGCUGGCAGCUGCUGUCCAAAGAAGGCACCUCUUUGUCUCCAGGGGAUGAAAGGCAUUUGGUUUUCAUCGCCCCCUUUCUCUCCGCCGACCCCGCGCCCCGCGCCCCGACCCCAGAAGGUGCCCCCCGGCCCCCGCCCGGAGCCGAGGUCUGAGUUUCCUCUCGCCUUCGCCCUUCCCGGAGCACUUCUGCCUUUACCUCUAACUCUCGGAGUCCCCAGCAGUCCCACCCUCGAGUGUGGCGUCGAAACUAAGGGAGCUCGCUUUGGGCAUCCCGGGAGCCUUUCCCAGCUCUGCUCCCGGAGCCGCGGCCCGCGUCGAUCGCCCCUCAGAUCCAACAGCACCACCUUCCGUAGCCGAGAGCUCAUUACCGGGCCGGGCCGGGCUGCGCGGAUGCUCUGGGCGCCGAGCUGGAAGUCGGCUCUGUCUGUCUGUGGCAACGAGGACUAGUGGGUUAACUGACCCAGGGCUGGCCUUGGAACAGCUGGACGCCUUCUGGUCAGAGAAAAGACCACACAGUAUCAAUAUGACCGCUGUUGUGGUCAGGCUUCUAACUUAAAGAGAUUAGUAAGCAUUUUUUUUUUUUUUUAAGUUUUGUAUGACUGUUCCUGAACAACUAAAUAGGAUUUCCUUUAUUUUGACUGUGGAGGAACUUUGUGAAAAUUAAAUUCAAGAAUGAGGGGGGAAAAAAUUCUUUGGCACUUCUUUGGCUGACGGUGUAUUUGAGAUUUGGAGUUGGAAGAUUAUUGUCCCCGGACUUAUGAUCCCUCCCCGCGACCUUAAAAUUGGAACAGAUGGUGUUUUCCAGACCUGUCUGCAAAGAAAAAAAAAAGGUUACAGUGAUGAGAGAAAAAGCAGGAUCAAGAAGGAGGCCGGAUACUGGCCUGGAGAAGAAUGCAGAAGCUGGGUGGUGAUUGCCAGCGUGGAGCGGAAGACAGAGAGCAAAACCGGCGUGUGUGGACCGAUCAUGGAGAUAAAGACACGCUCCAGCAAAGAUUCGGUGUGGUUUGAUGGCUGGAGCCACAGCAACAAUGUUGUGAACAUGAAGGUGAAAGGUCAGCACUAGAAAUACUAAUAAUGGAAUGUGGCAAGCUAAGAGAAGCCUGAGUCCUUGAUGUGGCGUUGCCAACCUAGCCCUUGAUCUCAAACCUCUUGUCUUCCCAUAAUAAGAGAAUAAUAAACCCC
ensembl:lncRNA